rnacentral:rRNA from 1 species
GAUGAACGCUGGCGGCGUGCCUAAUACAUGCAAGUCGAGCGAACGGACGAGAAGCUUGCUUCUCUGAUGUUAGCGGCGGACGGGUGAGUAACACGUGGAUAACCUACCUAUAAGACUGGGAUAACUUCGGGAAACCGGAGCUAAUACCGGAUAAUAUUUUGAACCGCAUGGUUCAAAAGUGAAAGACGGUCUUGCUGUCACUUAUAGAUGGAUCCGCGCUGCAUUAGCUAGUUGGUAAGGUAACGGCUUACCAAGGCAACGAUGCAUAGCCGACCUGAGACGGUGAUCGGCCACACUGGAACUGAGACACGGUCCAGACUCCUACGGGAGGCAGCAGUAGGGAAUCUUCCGCAAUGGGCGAAAGCCUGACGGAGCAACGCCGCGUGAGUGAUGAAGGUCUUCGGAUCGUAAAACUCUGUUAUUAGGGAAGAACAUAUGUGUAAGUAACUGUGCACAUCUUGACGGUACCUAAUCAGAAAGCCACGGCUAACUACGUG